GACGAACGCUGGCGGCGUGCCUAAUACAUGCAAGUUGAGCGCUGAAGGUUGGUACUUGUACCAACUGGAUGAGCAGCGAACGGGUGAGUAACGCGUGGGGAAUCUGCCUUUGAGCGGGGGACAACAUUUGGAAACGAAUGCUAAUACCGCAUAAAAACUUUAAACACAAGUUUUAAGUUUGAAAGAUGCAAUUGCAUCACUCAAAGAUGAUCCCGCGUUGUAUUAGCUAGUUGGUGAGGUAAAGGCUCACCCAGGCGAUGAUACAUAGCCGACCUGAGAGGGUGAUCGGCCACAUUGGGACUGAGACACGGCCCAAACUCCUACGGGAGGCAGCAGUAGGGAAUCUUCGGCAAUGGACGAAAGUCUGACCGAGCAACGCCGCGUGAGUGAAGAAGGUUUUCGGAUCGGAAAACUCUGUUGGUAGAGAAGAACGUUGGUGAGAGUGGAAAGCUCAUCAAGUGACGGUAACUACCCAGAAAGGGACGGCUAACUACGUG
rnacentral:rRNA from 1 species